CACCUUGUUACCUAGACCACAGCACCAAAUGCCGUAUCCAGCUGUUUCUUGAACACUUUGUGAGAUACUGGAUCUGAAUCUCACUGAAUUAUUUAUAUGGGUCAGAACCAACUCACUGUGAGUGUCUGUGUGCAUGUGGGGAAGGGCUGGGCCUGGACCUGCAGGAACAUGGCAGGGCUGCACAUCAGGCCUGUGCUGAGGGCACAGGGCAGAGCUGAAGGCAAGGCCUGCAGCCCACGCAGAGCACAGGGCAGAGCUGCAGGCCCUGCAGCCGGGCUGUCAGUCAGGGCAGAGCUGCCUGGUAGCCCGACCACACCAUGACCCCUGGAGCCUGUGACUGCUACAGCACAGCUCACUCUGGCCUGGAAGGCACCGACUGGAUAUCCUGCCUGGGAGGGAAAACUAAACUGUGAAUUCGUGACACUCCAUGUGAUCUCUCUCUCUUCCAUGUAAAUCAUCAGAUCUUGUUGGAAUUUCUCAAGAAUAACAUCACCACAAUGGUCCUGAGGCUCUCUGGUACCCCAGAUUUUCAACACGCAGUUAAGAACAAUGGAUAAGCUUAGCCAAGUCAUGAUGAAGGUGAUGAUAUCACCACUGUCAUGAGGGCAGUUUUGAAUUCCUUUUCCAGAAGAUCUCUGUCUUCAUAUGAAUUUUCCUGAAAUGGAGACUUGGAUAAAAACAGACUGGAUGAGUCAAGAUCAAGGUAAGUAAAAAAUAAAGCUGUUUUACUACAGACAUUUUGUAAAGACCUUAGCAGCUAGUAAUUUGAGAAAUAAAGUUUGCAGUAUAAUUUAUUUUAAUUUACAAUCAUAUUCUUGAUUGCCCUCUAUUCCUAAGAGGUUUUUCUGCCAUGUAGUGUUUUUCUUUCUUAAUUUUGUGAUCAACAGAGCUGCUUCAGUAAUGUCUUUUAGGUGGGAAGCUCAUCUUAGUUACUGGCAUCACUUUGACCUACAGACAGAUCAAAUGCUCCUCCAUAAAUUUAUCUCUGAGGAAGAAGCUUGGUCUAGAGAGGACUACUGUGGCCAGUCAGCUUAAUCACACAGACCACAGGGAUCUCAUUAGGCCUUAAAAUUCACUUUCAGGAGUUCUUCUUUAGGCAUUCUUUAAAUCUCCCAGUUCUGCUGACUCCUGUGUACCCAAGAGGCUACAUUCCUCCCUAUGGCAGUCAAGUCCAGCUAUUGCACACUUGCCAACAAUGGCUGCAGAAACUCAGUGAUGACUGAACUCUGAUUUUCACAGCCUUAACUCUUCCUCCUUUCAGCUAUUUGAUGCUGGAUAAGCUGGCCAUCAAGGAAGAGUGCAGGGCCCCACCAUGCUCUGAGGCUUCUGCCCACGGACCUUCCUUUCAAGCUCCCAACUACUAAGUCGUUUCAUAUUCUUUUGACAUAAACUUGAGACUAAUUUUUUUUUUACAUGAAUACUAGUAGCACAAGACCACAAACAGCUUGCAACUAUGCUCUUCUAUGAUGAAUAUAUCUUCCUAUGAAUAUAUUAUUCAAGCAUUUUCCAAGAAGACAAAUGUCUACUUCAUAUGCUGUUAGUAGUGCUUUUAUUAAUUAACAACCUUUUGUAUACUGGCAGAUUGGACUAGGAUUAAUAGAUUAUGAAGACCACUCAUACCUGUCAUUCCCUAAGGCAUUGCCAGCUAAUCCAGCUGGGUCCCAGCUGACAAGCGUGGAAGGUCAUCCAAACUGUACUAAGAAAUAAAGUAAGUCUAUGUCAUUGCUUGUUAUUGGCUCUUUUUCGAACCAAAAUAGAGUUUUACUGUUAGUGCAUGUUAUUUUUAUGAUGUAUUCAGGGACAACAAGGCUAGUCUGCUGUCCUUAUUGACUUCAGUUUACAGUAUAGCCAUUUCACCAUCCCAUUCUGUCUUUAAUUUAGUCACAAAAGGCCAUGAACUGGAAAGUUCUUAUUAUUUAUUUACACCACGUUACUGCCUAGGCACCUAAUCAAGGAUCGAUUGUGCAACGACAUAGUGUACAGACAUAUAACAAAGAAAGCAGUCCCUACCUCAGGCAGUUGCAGUCUGUGUGGCAAGUACAGCAGGAUAGGAAAGAGGCUGGAUAAAUGGCUUGCAAAAGGUAGCCUAUACAGCACUAGAUAGAAGUGAAGAUGAGUGACAGAGUCACAGUUUUGAAUCACUCUCCGUAGACCUGAUGUGGAUUCUUAUGAAUUAGUAGUGGAUCCCUGCCUCUUUGUGGUCUGUUCGCAUCUGUCCAGAGAGCAGAGCAGGAAAGCUUCAGCCAACAAUGCCAAUACAACCCUAUAAAGAUUAAUAGGGUACCUGAAAAGCAACAAGGACUUUGAGUGAUUUCAAGGAUUCCAAAGACUCAAGAAAUCAAUUUCGGAAAUAUAUUUCAUCAGCAUUAGCAAGAUCAUUAUCCACAUCUCAUUUCUAGUGUGACAAACAAUUUGCACAUACUGGAAUACCAGAGAAGCAAGCCAAUGAAGAAGAUUGAAGAUGGAGUGAUCUGAUAUACACUGUUGGACAUCAGAUGGUACAAAUCAGAUGUGUAAAGUUUUUUUGUCAACAAGUAGCAGCACUGACAUUGCAUUAUUUCAUACGGAGAAAAAAGAUGUUUCCAUCCCAUGGCUUUUGCCCUGGACCACCCUCAGUCAUGACCCUUGGGAAUCGGGGCUGGGAUCUUUAAGACCCUCUUUUCAUCAAUCUUCAUCUUCUUCAGGAUACAGGGGGCAUAUAUUCACCCAGUUCUUGACUGUACUUUUGUGGUUCAGGCCAGGAUUAGAUGUCCUCAGACAAAAGAGGCCUAUCUUAAAGAGAGACUAAACAUUUCUACUG